GACGAACGCUGGCGGCGUGCUUCACACAUGCAAGUCGAGCGGAAAGGCCCCUUCGGGGGUACUCGAGCGGCGAACGGGUGAGUAACACGUGGGCAACCUACCUCUCGCACCGGGAUACCCCGGGGAAACCCGGAUCAAUACCGGAUAAAGUGCGGCGCUGCAGGGCGCCGUACCAAAGAUAGCUUCGGCCUUUGGCGAGAGACGGGCCCGCGUCCCAUUAGCUUGUUGGCGGGGUAACGGCCCACCAAGGCGACGAUGGGUAGCUGGUCUGAGAGGA
rnacentral:rRNA from 1 species